GACGAAUGCUGGCUGCGUGCUUAACACAUGCAAGUCGCACGGUGAAAGGGAGCUUGCUCCCUGGAUCAGUGGCGAACGGGUGAGUAACACGUGGGCAACCUGCCCCUCACUCUGGGAUAACUCCGGGAAACCGGGGCUAAUACCGGAUACGACCUGGUGCGACAUCGCACCGGGCGGAAAGAACUUCGGCGAGGGAUGGGCCCGCUGCCUAUCAGCUUGUUGGGGGGGUAACGGCCCACCAAGGCGACGACGGGUAGCCGGCCUGAGAGGGCGACCGGCCAAACUGGGACUGAGACACGGCCCAGACUCCUACGGGAGGCAGCAGUGGGGAAUAUUGCGCAAUGGGCGAAAGCCUGACGCAGCGACGCAGCGUGAGGGACGAAGGCCUUCGGGUUGUAAACCUCUUUCAGCGGGGACGAAGCGAAAGUGACGGUACCCGCAGAAGAAGCACCGGCUAACUACGUGCCAGCAGCCGCGGUAAGAC
rnacentral:rRNA from 1 species